rnacentral:ncRNA from 1 species
GCCCCUGUGAGAAUGCCCUAUUAAUACCACUUUAGUGGAAAAUAGGAGUUGGUAUCAGGCACAACAUGAGUUAGCCCAUAACACCUUGCUUAGCCACACCCCCAAGGGACUUCAGCAGUAAUAAAUAUUAAGCCCUAAGUGAAAACUUGACUUAAUUAACAUCAAGAGGGCCGGUCAAACUCGUGCCAGCCACCGCGGUUAUACGAGAGGCCCAAGCUGAGAGUGCCCGGCGUAAAGUGUGAUUAAUAGAUACAUAAAAAUAAAGUCGAACCACUUCAGUGCUGUCACAAGCUUCCGAAAGUGGGAAGCCCAUUAACGAAAGUAACUUUAGAUAUAUGAAUUCACGAAAGCUAAGAAACAAACUGGGAUUAGAUACCCCACUAUGCUUAGCCCUAAACUUAAGUGUUAGAUUACUUUAACCUCGCCAGGAAAUUACGAGCUAAAGCUUAAAACCCAAAGGACUUGGCGGUGCUUUAAACCCCUCUAGAGGAGCCUGUCCUGUAAUCGAUAAUCCCCGUUUAACCUCACCCCCUCUUGCUCUUUCAGCCUAUAUACCGCCGUCGUAAGCCUACCCUGUGAAGGUUUUACAGUAGGCAAAAUCGGCAAAGCCCAGCACGUCAGGUCAAGGUGUAGCCUACGAGGGGGGAAGAGAUGGGCUACAUUUACUGGCUCAGUAAAUACGGAUCUUGUACUGAAACGUACAUUUGAAGGAGGAUUUAGUAGUAAGUAGGGAGCAGAGUGCCCUUCUGAAAAAGGCUCUAAAGCGCGUACACACCGCCCGUCACUCUCUCCUACGAACUCCUAACAAUUAAUUAAAAAGUAAAUGGUAUCAAAUAGGGGAGGCAAGUCGUAACAUGGUAAGUGUACCGGAAGGUGUACUUGGAAAAUUUUC